CCUACGGGAGGCAGCAGUGGGGAAUAUUGCACAAUGGGGGAAACCCUGAUGCAGCGACGCCGCGUGAGUGAAGAAGUAUUUCGGUAUGUAAAGCUCUAUCAGCAGGGAAGAAAAAAGACGAUACCUAACUAAGAAGCCCCGGCUAACUACGUGCCAGCAGCCGCGGUAAUACGUAGGGGGCAAGCGUUAUACGUAUUUACUGGGGGGAAAGGGAGCGUAGACGGCGCGGCAAGUCUGAAGUGAAAGGCAGGGGCUUAACCCCUGAACUGCUUUGGAAACUGCCAUGCUAGAGUGCUGGAGAGGUAAGUGGAAUUCCUAGUGUAGCGGUGAAAUGUGUAGAUAUUAGGAGGAACACCAGUGGCGAAGGCGGCUUACUGGACAGUAACUGACGUUGAGGCUCGAAAGCGUGGGGAGCAAACAGGAUUAGAUACCCCAGUAGUC
rnacentral:rRNA from 1 species